AGAGGCGAAUCAGAUAUGAGCCAUGUCCGAAGAAUUGCCUCUGUUUGCCAGUAGUGCGAGGGAACGUCGUUACCGAGGUCCGAAUGCUUAAACUUUUUGUGGAACACAGGUGUCUCCACUUCGUCCACGAUCAGAGAAUCUUUGUACAAUGAAGGAAUUGUUUAGACCAGGACAGAGGCCUCCAGAAUUCAAACUUCAACCAUUAAAUCACA